rnacentral:lncRNA from 1 species
UAAAUUGCAAAAGACUUAAUGUUUUCUCCUCUGAGAUCAAGAACGAUAAAAGGACAUGUACUCUCCACACUUGUAAUUAUCCUAGCUGGCACAAUCAGAUACAGAAGAGGAAUGAAGUGUAUGUAUAACACAGAGCUGCCUCUGUUUACAGAUGUCAUGAUCAGAUACACAGAAAAUCAUAAGAAUAUACAGAAUGUUACUAGAAAACUGAAUUUAGCAAGUAUGCAAAAUAGACUGCAUUCUAUUAUUCAGCAUUAAAUUGAAUUAUUAAAAAAUAAAAUAAACACAUGGGAAUAAAUUUAACAAAAUACAUGCAAGGCCUGUACAAAACUACAACACAUUGUUGGGAGAAGUUAAUAAUCUAAAUAGCUAAAGAGAUACACCAUGCUAUGGCUUGAAUAUAUUGUGUCUCUUCAAAAUUCAGACAAUGAAACUUAAACCCCAAGGUGACAACAUUAAAAGGUGGUGGAACCUGAGAGGGACUCAGGCCAUGAGAGUUCUCUCCUCCUGUUUGGGAUUACUACCCUUAUAAAAGAGGCUUCACAGAAUCACCUGACCCUUCCAUUUCUUUAGGUCAUGCGAGGAUACAGUGUUUGAUGCUUAUGCCUCUUCUACUAUGUCAGGUUGCAGCAAGAAGGUAUCGCCUUAGAGACAGACAAUAGCCCUCACCAGACACUGAAUCUGUCUCUCUCUCUCUCUCUCUCUCUCUCUCCAGUGCUGAGGAUCAAACCCAGUAGCUCAUACGUAUUAGGCAAGUGCUCAACUGCUAUCCCCUCAGCCCUUCUGUCUGCUUCUUGAUCCUAAACUUCCCAGCCUCCAGAACUUUGAGAAAUAAAUUUCUGUUCUUUAUAAAUUAUCAAGUCUAAGGUAUUUUGUUAUAGCAGCAGGAAUGAACUAACACACAUCAUGAUUAUGGAUCAGAAAACAAAGCCCUGUUAACAUAUAAAUUCUCUAAAUGGGAUGGAUUCAAAAUAAAAAGCUUCUUCUCUGCAAAUGAAACAAUAAUGUGAAUAGAGAGCCCAUAGAGUAUGGGAGAACAUCUUUUUUUUUUAAAUACCUUUAUUCUAUUUAUUCAUUUGUAUGUGGUGCUGAGGAUCGAACCCAGGGCCUCACAUGUGC